UACCUUAGACUGGGAUAACUUGGGAAACUGAGGAUAAUACCGGAUAGGCAAUUAUUCCUGUAAUGGUUUUUUGUUUAAAUGUUUUUUCGCCUAAGGAUGGGUCUGCGGCCGAUUAGGUAGUUGGUUAGGUAAUGGCUUACCAAGCCGUUGAUCGGUACGGGUUGUGAGAGCAAGAGCCCGGAGAUGGAACCUGAGACAAGGUUCCAGGCCCUACGGGGUGCAGCAGGCGCGAAACCUCCGCAAUGUGAGAAAUCGCGACGGGGGGAUCCCAAGUGCCAUUCUUAACGGGAUGGCUUUUCAUUAGUGUAAAAAGCUUUUGGAAUAAGAGCUGGGCAAGACCGGUGCCAGCCGCCGCGGUAACACCGGCAGCUCUAGUGGUAGCAAUUUUUAUUGGGCCUAAAGCGUCCGUAGCCGGUUUAAUAAGUCUCUGGUGAAAUCCUGUAGCUUAACUGUGGGAAUUGCUGGAGAUACUAUUAGACUUGAGACCGGGAGAGGUUAGAGGUACUCCCCAGCGUAGAGGUGAAAUUCUGUAAUC
rnacentral:rRNA from 1 species